CCUGAGCUGCAGUUGGACGCUUAACUGACUGAGCCAGCCAGGCGCCCCAGGCCAAACAUCUCUUCUAAUGUGUGUUGAUUUUGGGGUGGUUUGAAACUUCAGGAGAUCUCCAGGUAAAAUUCGAAACCAGACUCUGCACAGGGAGUGCACGGGGAAGGAAGAAAGAGGCAGGCCACUCCAGAUCAGUAGGUGACGGGUUUAAAUAGCAGGGGAACUUAGGAGGCAGGCAGGGGACCAUCCUAGGUGCCAAGAGCCGUAGAUCUCUGCACCUGCCAGCCAGAAUCUUAGCGGUUUACACGGAGGCCUUAACGGGGUUCAGUCAUGGUACCCGCCAGCACCUCCCUCCCUCCAGCUGCAUCCUUGAGUGGCUCCUAGUGUGGCAAUGGUGGGCUGAGUGUAUAUUUCAAGGACAGAGGAGGGGGUAAGAACCUCUGAUUGCUCGAGGGUCAACCGGAAGUCGUGUCCUCCGGAUGACCUCUUCCGACAACGCCUGCGCCUGCGUGGGAAGCCGCCAGCCUGCAGGAUUAGCUUCAUUUCCUCCAGGGCUUUCCCUCUGGCCUCCAGCUCUGGCUCCAGGCUGCUCUCUCGUGGACAGGGCUAACCCCGGCACAAAGUACAGUCUUUUGGCGGAAUCUGCCCUCAGGCCCUCCAGGACCUCCGGGUUCACGGAGCUGGACAAAGCCAACCUCCGCGCCCGGCCCCCACGCGGAAACUUCUUGCCAGGAAAGAUCAGCUGGUUUUCCCAAGCCUGGCUCUGACCUCGUGGACAGGAAGCACCUUGAAACAGUCUCUGCCGAAGGAUCACCACAACAGAGGCAGAAACCGGGAUCACUUUUUUGCUUGGAGGAAAUCUGUACGAAUGGGCAGUCCCUAAUAUUACCACGUCACAGAAUGGCAGGCCUGGAAGGGAGCUCUGAGGUCAACCUGUCCAGCUCCUUCGUGGUGCAGAUGGGGAAACUGAGGACCAGGUGAGAGAAAUUAUGAAGGAGAGAGAAACCUAAGAAAACAAGCAACCUGUCAUUGUUCUUACACUUCACCUUCUUUGGAAUGGGUGCCUGACCUCACUGGAAACUCAAGAAUUUGCCGAUACGACACUCCACCCUUUUCAAAGAUUCAGCGAGCUCCCAGAACACGCAAGUCGUCCUCAACUGGGCAGUGUGAGUUUCUUCCCAAGGUUGGCCCUGUUGUUGUUCAGGUGCUGCCUGUGAGCAGACACCCACAGAAGACGGAAAAGAUGAAUCCGCAGAUUGCUACACACACAUGAUCAUCUAGGUGAGUGGCAAAC